GUGGGGAAUAUUGGACAAUGGGCGAAAGCCUGAUCCAGCCAUGCCGCGUGUGUGAAGAAGGUCUUCGGAUUGUAAAGCACUUUAAGUUGGGAGGAAGGGCAGUAAGUUAAUACCUUGCUGUUUUGACGUUACCGACAGAAUAAGCACCGGCUAACUUCGUGCCAGCAGCCGCGGUAAUACGCAGGGUGCAAGCGUUAAUCGGAAUUACUGGGCGUAAAGCGCGCGUAGGUGGUUGUGUAAGUUGGAGGUGAAAUCCCCGGGCUCAACCUGGGAACUGCCUCCAAAAGUGCAUGACUAGAGUACGGUAGAGGGUAGUGGAAUUUCCUGUGUAGCGGUGAAAUGCGUAGAUAUAGGAAGGAACACGAGUGGCGAAGGCGACUACCUGGACUGAUACUGACACUGAGGUGCGAAAGCGUGGGGAGCAAACAGGAUUAGAUACCCGAGUAGUCC
rnacentral:rRNA from 1 species